rnacentral:rRNA from 1 species
GUGCUCGAGUGGCGAACGGGUGAGUAACACGUGAGUAACCUGCCCUUGACUUUGGGAUAACUUCAGGAAACUGGGGCUAAUACCGGAUAGGAGCUCCUGCUGCAUGGUGGGGGUUGGAAAGUUUCGGCGGUUGGGGAUGGACUCGCGGCUUAUCAGCUUGUUGGUGGGGUAGUGGCUUACCAAGGCUUUGACGGGUAGCCGGCCUGAGAGGGUGACCGGCCACAUUGGGACUGAGAUACGGCCCAGACUCC